rnacentral:rRNA from 1 species
GUGGGGAAUAUUGGACAAUGGGCGAAAGCCUGAUCCAGCCAUGCCGCGUGUGUGAAGAAGGUCUUCGGAUUGUAAAGCACUUUAAGUUGGGAGGAAGGGCAGUAAGUUAAUACCUUGCUGUUUUGACGUUACCGACAGAAUAAGCACCGGCUAACUUCGUGCCAGCAGCCGCGGUAAUACGAAGGGUGCAAGCGUUAAUCGGAAUUACUGGGCGUAAAGCGCGCGUAGGUGGUUUUGUAAGUUGGAGGUGAAAUCCCCGGGCUCAACCUGGGAACUGCCUCCAAAACUACUGAGCUAGAGUACGGUAGAGGGUAGUGGAAUUUCCUGUGUAGCGGUGAAAUGCGUAGAUAUAGGAAGGAACACCAGUGGCGAAGGCGACUACCUGGACUGAUACUGACACUUAGGUGCGAAAGCGUGGGGAGCAAACAGGAUUAGAUACCCUAGUAGUCC